GGGUGUGAUCAUACUAGCAUUAAUGCACCAGAUCCCAUCAGAACUCUACAGUUAAGCGUGCUUGGGCUAGAGUAGUACUUGGAUGGGUGACCUCUUGGGAAGUCCUAGUGUUGCACCCU
rnacentral:rRNA from 1 species